GGGCUACCAGUGCUGGUGUAAGUGUAUGUAAUACACAGUGUAUGUAUGGGCUAUAAAAAACGGCAUACAAUUUAAAACAACCAUUUAGUUUCUCUCAUAAACUUUCAUUUCAUUUCCUCUUUUACUAUCAAACACCAAACACAUGUGUUGUUGUUAGACACUUGCCAUCACUUAUGAUAAUAAUGAUAUGGUUGGGUUGGGAACUCAAACAACACACGACUGUCCUCGGAUAGCAUUACUGGACUAGAGAUUAUGACCAUCACCAGAGAAAUGAACCAAAUUUAAUGGUUAAGACAAUGAUUGAUCCCCCAAAAAAAAAAGAUGACGACAACUAUAUCUAUUUGUGUUGAGAGAAAUGGCUAAAUGUCUUCAAGCAAUGUGUUUCCUGAAUACAUACACGAGGAAGGCGUGGAUAACACGUGUAUUAACAACAGAAAUAGAUAAUGGUUGACUAACUCACAUACCAUUUGAUGAUUGAUUGACAUUAUUAGGGAACUCCUCGAGAGGUUUAUACAAGAACUAUAUGUAGCUGAUCUGUACCGUCACUGUUGUUGAUGGCUAUCACUUGAUUUGAUCCUCUCUAAGAUAAAUGAUAAUUAUGAUAUACAUACUAACCAUGGAUGACCAUAGAUAGUGUUUAUGAUAGUUAGGUGCCGCCCCUAUUGGAUGGUUUACAACGCGUACAUACGGUUGACUUCCCCCCCCCAUUUGGAUGGCUUUAUCGGAUUGUUUUUUUUUGGUUGACCAGAGCAAUGGUGAGGGGAACCCCCACUAUAAUGGGUCGGUCGUAUCAGUUAUGGAUGUCCGUGUAGUUGGUUUCUAUUGGUGUUUUAUCGGUUUUUUUUCGCCUCAUUAAUGAUUUUAUCAAAUCUAUUGUAUCCAUCAAUUUGAUAACAACGUAAAAAUGCGCACCGGUAGUCAAUCAGUCGUCCUCAACAUUAUUGACCCAUUACUGAUCAUCACUGGUAGUUCAUGGAUAGUCAAGUGGUUGAUAUUUUGAGAGAUUAAUACAAGCACUGGGAGUGUCCAUUGACUGCUAUUGAUUGGGACACUGGGAUUGAUAGUUAACGGGACAUUACUGGCCGAGCACUGGUAGUUAGUCGUCGUCCGCAUAAAAUGUAUUUCGAGGUAAUCAAUGGAUCAAUCACUGGACACUUAUCGGUCGACAUAGUUAUCAGCCAUUACUGGGAACUAAUUGCAAUCAUAGA